rnacentral:rRNA from 1 species
UGGGGAAUAUUGGACAAUGGGCGCAAGCCUGAUCCAGCCAUGCCGCGUGAGUGACGAAGGCCUUAGGGUUGUAAAGCUCUUUUGGCGGGGACGAUAAUGACGGUACCCGCAGAAUAAGCCCCGGCUAACUUCGUGCCAGCAGCCGCGGUAAUACGAAGGGGGCUAGCGUUGUUCGGAAUUACUGGGCGUAAAGCGCACGUAGGCGGAUGUGCCAGUCAGGGGUGAAAUCCCGAGGCUCAACCUCGGAACUGCCUCCGAUACAGCACGUCUCGAGUCCGGAAGAGGUGAGUGGAAUUCCUAGUGUAGAGGUGAAAUUCGUAGAUAUUAGGAAGAACACCAGUGGCGAAGGCGGCUCACUGGUCCGGUACUGACGCUGAGGUGCGAAAGCGUGGGGAGCAAACAGGAUUAGAUACCCGUGUAGUCCCUGAGCGGGCUGGCAAGGCGCAU